ACCACGCCCAGGACCAGCCACCCAUGACGUAGCUCUUCUCAUUCCCGCAGCCACCUGGAGAAAGCAUCAAUAAUAUUGCAGGUGCCAGGUCCUUAUGCUCUUGUAUCGUCGGCCUGAGGGCAGAAGAGUGAAAGGAUGGUGGCUGGGAUGACUGGGGUCAGAAACUAUGCGCUUGGCCUUUCUUCUGCAGCGCUGGCUAUAGAUGUCCUGGAUGGAUGGCAAGGCAUGAAAAUAACCCCAAUGCUCUUGAGAGACGAGGAACCUGACAUGGCUUUGUUCUCUCACGAAGCCCACAUCUUGGUUCCCGGCAUGCCUGUGUGGAGCUUCUGCCUGCCCUGCACACACAUACCGACAGAUGUCAGAGAAAUCUUGAGGAUAAAGAUUUACCAUAAUUACUCUCUUACCCCCUCCCCACACCACCACCAACUGUACAGACCCUGCUCUGCUACAGCAGAACAUUAACAACCAGUUUGGGUGAUGGCAGCAAUUAUCAAGUGCAACUCCACAAUUACCAUCCUGUCCAUCGCCAUCAGGAUCUCAGAGCAAGUGAUUUCUUGAAGCAGAAGGGGUUCUCAUGAAACACAAUCACAGGAGGUGUCAUUUUUUCUUCUUCGUCUUGUUCAACAAGAUGCUGAUGCACUGCACUGAUACUGUGACUGCUGUAUCAGAGAUUUGCUGCUGCGUGUCUUCACUGUGCUUUUUUUUUUAAAGUGUGCAUGUCUGUUAUCUAGGGCACACCGAUAUAACAGAUGCGUUAACUGAGCCUGAAGGUCUUUUUGCUGUUUUUCCUUUCAGGUGUAACCCUCAUGGGAAAGCUAUGCGUGUACAGGUUUUAUAUAGGACAAAGGGGAAUUGUAACACUGUGAUUAUAUCCUAACUGUAAACCAAACA